GUGCCAGCCGCCGCGGUAAUACGUAGGUGGCAAGCGUUGUCCGGAUUUAUUGGGCGUAAAGCGAGCGCAGGCGGUUUCUUAAGUCUGAUGUGAAAGCCUUCGGCUCAACCGAAGAAGUGCAUCGGAAACUGGGAAACUUGAGUGCAGAAGAGGACAGUGGAACUCCAUGUGUAGCGGUGAAAUGCGUAGAUAUAUGGAAGAACACCAGUGGCGAAGGCGGCUGUCUGGUCUGUAACUGACGCUGAGGCUCGAAAGCAUGGGUAGCAAACAGGAUUAGGUACCCUGGUAGUCCAUGCCGUAAACGAUGAGUGCUAGGUGUUGGAGGGUUUCCGCCCUUCAGUGCCGCAGCUAACGCAUUAAGCACUCCGCCUGGGGAGUACGACCGCAAGGUUGAAACUCAAAGGAAUUGACGGGGGCCCGCACAAGCGGUGGAGCAUGUGGUUUAAUUCGAAGCAACGCGAAGAACCUUACCAGGUCUUGACAUCCUUUGACCACUCUAGAGAUAGAGCUUUCCCUUCGGGGACAAAGUGACAGGUGGUGCAUGGUUGUCGUCAGCUCGUGUCGUGAGAUGUUGGGUUAAGUCCCGCAACGAGCGCAACCCUUAUUACUAGUUGCCAGCAUUAAGUUGGGCACUCUAGUGAGACUGCCGGUGACAAACCGGAGGAAGGUGGGGACGACGUCAAAUCAUCAUGCCCCUUAUGACCUGGGCUACACACGUGCUACAAUGGAUGGUACAACGAGUUGCGAGACCGCGAGGUUUAGCUAAUCUCUUAAAACCAUUCUCAGUUCGGAUUGUAGGCUGCAACUCGCCUACAUGAAGCCGGAAUCGCUAGUAAUCGCGGAUCAGCAUGCCGCGGUGAAUACGUUCCCGGGCCUUGUACACACCGCCCGU
rnacentral:rRNA from 1 species